CCUACGGGGGGCAGCAGUGGGGAAUAUUGCGCAAUGGGCGAAAGCCUGACGCAGCGACGCCGCGUGAGGGAUGAAGGUCUUCGGAUCGUAAACCUCUGUCAGCAGGGAAGAACGGUCACUGUGCUAAUCAGCAGUGAAUUGACGGUACCUGCAAAGGAAGCACCGGCUAACUCCGUGCCAGCAGCCGCGGUAAUACGGAGGGUGCGGGCGUUAAUCGGAAUUACUGGGCGUAAAGCGCUCGUAGGCGGUAUGUCAAGUCAAGGGUGAAAUCCCCGCGCUCAACGUGGGAACUGCCUUUGAAACUGGCAGACUGGAGUGUGUGCGAGGAUAGUGGAAUUCCAGGUGUAGGAGUGAAAUCCGUAGAUAUCUGGAGGAACAUCGGUGGCGAAGGCGACUAUCUGGCACAUAACUGACGCUGAGGAGCGAAAGCGUGGGUAGCAAACAGGAUUAGAUACCCGGGUAGUC
rnacentral:rRNA from 1 species